rnacentral:rRNA from 1 species
CUUCGAUGGAUAGGGGUUCUGAGAGGAAGGUCCCCCACAUUGGAACUGAGACACGGUCCAAACUCCUACGGGAGGCAGCAGUGAGGAAUAUUGGUCAAUGGGCGCUAGCCUGAACCAGCCAAGUAGCGUGAAGGAUGAAGGCUCUAUGGGUCGUAAACUUCUUUUAUAUAAGAAUAAAGUGCAGUAUGUAUACUGUUUUGUAUGUAUUAUAUGAAUAAGGAUCGGCUAACUCCGUGCCAGCAGCCGCGGUAAUACGGAGGAUCCGAGCGUUAUCCGGAUUUAUUGGGUUUAAAGGGAGCGUAGGUGGACUGGUAAGUCAGUUGUGAAAGUUUGCGGCUCAACCGUAAAAUUGCAGUUGAUACUGUCAGUCUUGAGUACAGUAGAGGUGGGCGGAAUUCGUGGUGUAGCGGUGAAAUGCUUAGAUAUCACGAAGAACUCCGAUUGCGAAGGCAGCUCACUGGACUGCAACUGACACUGAUGCUCGAAAGUGUGGGUAUCAAACAGGAUUAGAUACCCUGGUAGUCCACACAGUAAACGAUGAAUACUCGCUGUUUGCGAUAUACAGUAAGCGGCCAAGCGAAAGCAUUAAGUAUUCCACCUGGGGAGUACGCCGGCAACGGUGAAACUCAAAGGAAUUGACGGGGGCCCGCACAAGCGGAGGAACAUGUGGUUUAAUUCGAUGAUACGCGAGGAACCUUACCCGGGCUUAAAUUGCAGUGGAAUGAUGUGGAAACAUGUCAGUGAGCAAUCACCGCUGUGAAGGUGCUGCAUGGUUGUCGUCAGCUCGUGCCGUGAGGUGUCGGCUUAAGUGCCAUAACGAGCGCAACCCUUAUCUUUAGUUACUAACAGGUUAUGCUGAGGACUCUAGAGAGACUGCCGUCGUAAGAUGUGAGGAAGGUGGGGAUGACGUCAAAUCAGCACGGCCCUUACGUCCGGGGCUACACACGUGUUACAAUGGGGGGUACAGAAGGCAGCUAGCGGGUGACCGUAUGCUAAUCCCAAAAGCCUCUCUCAGUUCGGAUCGAAGUCUGCAACCCGACUUCGUGAAGCUGGAUUCGCUAGUAAUCGCGCAUCAGCCACGGCGCGGUGAAUACGUUCCCGGGCCUUGUACACACCGCCCGUCAAGCCAUGGGAGCCGGGGGUACCUGAAGUACGUAACCGCAAGGAUCGUCCUAGGGUAAAACUGGUGACUGGGGCUAAGUCGUAACAAGGUAGCCGUACCGGAAGGUGCGGCUGGAACACCUCCUUUCU